AGCGAACGCUGGCGGCAGGCUUAACACAUGCAAGUCGAGCGGGCCCUUCGGGGUCAGCGGCAGACGGGUGAGUAACACGUGGGAACGUACCCUUCGGUUCGGAAUAACUCAGGGAAACUUGAGCUAAUACCGGAUACGCCCUUUGGGGGAAAGGUUUACUGCCGAAGGAUCGGCCCGCGUCUGAUUAGCUAGUUGGUGGGGUAAUGGCCCACCAAGGCGACGAUCAGUGGCUGGUCUGAGAGGAUGANCAGUCACACUGGAACUGAGACACGGUCCAGACUCCUACGGGAGGCAGCAGUGGGGAAUAUUGGACAAUGGGCGAAAGCCUGAUCCAGCCAUGCCGCGUGUGUGAAGAAGGUCUUCGGAUUGUAAAGCACUUUAAGUUGGGAGGAAGGGCAUUUAACCUAAUACGUAAGUGUUUGUACGUUACCGACAGAAUAAGCACCGGCUAACUCUGUGCCAGCCGCCGCAGUAA
rnacentral:rRNA from 1 species